CAGUUUGAUCCUGGCUCAGGACGAACGCUGGCGGCGCGUCUAAGACAUGCAAGUCGAACGAUUAAAGCCCCCUUCGGGGGGUAUAUAAAGUGGCGAACGGGUGAGUAACACGUAGCUAACCUGCCCUUCAGACCGGGACAACGGUGCGAAAGCGCCGCUAAUACCGGAUACGCCGUUUGGUCUUCCCGACUGAACGUGAAAGUGGGCUUCGGUCCACACUGAAGGAGGAGGCUGCGGCCUUUUAGCUAGUUGGUGAGGUAACGGCCCACCAAGGCUACAAUGGGUAGCUGAUCUGAGAGGAUGGUCAGCCACACUGGGACUGAGACACGGCCCAGACUCCUACGGGAGGCAGCAGUUAAGAAUCUUGCACAAUGGGCGAAGGCCUGAUGCAGCGACGCCGCGUGAGCGAUGAAGGCUUUCGGGUUGUAAAGCUCUUUUCUGGAGGAAGAAACAAGCGAUUAAUAGUCGCUUACCGACGGUACUU
rnacentral:rRNA from 1 species